UGCCAGCCGCCGCGGUAAUACGUAGGGUGCGAGCGUUAAUCGGAAUUACUGGGCGUAAAGCGUGCGCAGGCGGUGAUGUAAGACAGGUGUGAAAUCCCCGGGCUUAACCUGGGAACUGCAUUUGUGACUGCAUCGCUGGAGUGCGGCAGAGGGGAUGGAAUUCCGCGUGUAGCAGUGAAAUGCGUAGAUAUGCGGAGGAACACCGAUGGCGAAGGCAAUCCCCUGGGCCUGCACUGACGCUCAUGCACGAAAGCGUGGGGAGCAAACAGGAUUAGAUA
rnacentral:rRNA from 1 species